rnacentral:rRNA from 1 species
UACGUAGGGUGCGAGCGUUGUCCGGAAUUAUUGGGCGUAAAGAGCUUGUAGGCGGUCUGUCGCGUCUGCUGUGAAAAUCCGGGGCUCAACCCCGGACUUGCAGUGGGUACGGGCAGACUAGAGUGUGGUAGGGGAGACUGGAAUUCCUGGUGUAGCGGUGAAAUGCGCAGAUAUCAGGAGGAACACCCGAUGGCGAAGGCAGGUCUCUGGGCCACUACUGCCGCU